ACCCAAAACGGUAUACUUUAAAAAGUUGUUAGUGUACUUCACCAGAUCUUAACCUACUACAGUAUGUGUAAGAAUGGAUUCCAAAUGUCACUGAAUUUGUCCAUGGCAAGUCUGUGUUUAUAUGCAAGUUGUUCAUAUGUGUAAGUGGUCGAUCCAAUCAUAGAAGGGAGCCACAUUUUUAUUUUUCCAUUUCAUCAGUAUCAGUCUUUUUGCUGUGGUCAGGGCAUGGAGAGUCCACUCGUAUUGUUCUUUUGUAAGGUUCCAUGUACUGGGUAUAUAAUUCAAGAGGAUAUUUUGCUCUGUAAAUGUAAGGUUGUUCCUUUCAGUUUUGUUGAUGGUUUCAGUUACCUUCUGCCAAAAAUCUUUAUCUCUUGCCACAUUUCUUUAUCUCUAGCACACAUUCCUCAACAACUCGUCUGUGCCCUUUCCAGGUACACAAAGAUGUGUGUGGUACAUCUAGGAUUACAGCCUGAGCCAAAAAAGAACAGUUUGGUCUUGGAAAAGACACAACAAACAUGCAGCAGAAAGAAAGCAGCAACAGCAUUCUUGCCAUGAUAAUGGUCUCAAAGUGUACCUUCUGAAAGAUACAUAAUACUUUCCCUUGGGAAUUCCAGACUUGGUCUCCAUCACAGCAAAGCACAAUUCACAGUUAUUUGCAUUUUUCAGCAGUACAAUUGUCAAAUGCCCAUUAGUUUAAGAGGAGGAGCUCAUAAUUCAUAAUUCUCAAAGAAUGCAAUGCCUGGACUUUGUUUCUAAAUAACAUAAAUUUAUUUCUAAAUAAGCUCCCGCUGAAGAUGGGAAGUCACUUUUUCAUGCUGCAUGAAAAACAACACAAAGUUCUGCAGCAUCUUAAUGGUAGCACAUUUGUUGUGGUGUCUACACCUUUGCAAAGGAUCCAUCAUCAAUCUCUCACUGACUGUGGCAACAAAUGGUUUGAGUGAAUCUGGACUGAAAUCAUGGUGGUUGCAUAAAUUCACCUUAAGUGCACAUUGUCCUAUUUCUUUGAUGGAUUCCUCGUUUGUUUGGCAGAUCAGCUCACAGGAAUGAAGGCGGUACAACAAAAUACAGGCAGUAUCUGCAAAUCUGAGGUGGUGUUGAGUUUUAGCAGUGUGUGU
rnacentral:lncRNA from 1 species